GAAGGGGAAAGAAGGCGAAGGUGAGAAGAAAGACGGUGCCAAAGCUGCCACUGGUGGUGGAGAAGGAAGCAAAAGUGAAGGGAAGAAGAUGGAGAUAAACAAAAUGGAGUUCCAUGGGUACAAUCCAGAAACACACUAUGCUGUGCCUAUGUACAACCAAAGUUAUGCACAUCAAGGCUAUGGUGUGCCGAUGUACCAGCCCCACCAAGAUUAUGCCUAUACUGGUCAUGUGGCGCAGUAUGCACCCGGGCCGCCGCCACCUCCGCUGCCGACUUAUUUGCACGACACCGAUCAAAUGUUCAGCGAUGAAAACCCUAAUGCUUGCUUCAUCAUGUG
rnacentral:lncRNA from 1 species